UACGGAGGAGCCAAGCGUUAAUCGGAUUUAUUGGGUUUAAAGGGUGCGUAGGCGGCCUGUUAAGUCAGGGGUGAAAGACGGUAGCUCAACUAUCGCAGUGCCCUUGAUACUGACGGGCUUGAAUUGACUAGAGGUAGGCGGAAUGUGACAAGUAGCGGUGAAAUGCAUAGAUAUGUCACAGAACACCGAUUGCGAAGGCAGCUUACUAUGGUCAUAUUGACGCUGAGGCACGAAAGCGUGGGGAUCAAACAGG
rnacentral:rRNA from 1 species